UACGUAGGCAGCGAGCGUUGUUCGGAUUUACUGGGCGUAAAGGGCGCGUAGGCGGCGUGACAAGUCAGUUGUGAAAUCUCCGAGCUUAACUCGGAACGGUCAACUGAUACUGUUGUGCUAGAGUACAGAAGGGGCAAUCGGAAUUCUUGGUGUAGCGGUGAAAUGCGUAGAUAUCAAGAGGAACACCUGAGGUGAAGACGGGUUGCUGGGCUGAUACUGACGCUGAGGCGCGAAAGCUAGGGUAGCAAACGGG
rnacentral:rRNA from 1 species